UUUGCCAUUCCUCACUUUCCCAACUCCCCAUUUUCCACUUUCUCCAUUUUGCUUGCACGUCUGUUUUUCUCUUUGGUUACUGGGAAUUUUCUUUUUACUUUUUCAUCUCUCUCACAUUUUUCUUUGUAUUCUUCACAUUAGUCCCUUUGAUUUUUCUUUUGUCGCUCCUUUUGUCUUCUAUUUUGUUACUAUUCUGACUGGUGUCGUCGCUUCUUCUGGAUUUGUUACUGGUUGUGUGAGAUAAGAGAGUUGGUAAAGGUUGUGAUGCAUAUUCCUCCAAUGAGUUGAAUUCGAUAAUCUUCUUUUCUAGGGUAAGUUUCUAACGCCCAAGUUUAGGGGCUGGUUGCGAAAAUUUAGUUCACAAAGGGUCGAGUGCCUUAUUGCUAUUGGUCGAAUGCUAGGGAAGUUAGGGUUGAAUCUUUUUAAGUGAUCAUUACUUGUUUAAUUGUGGAUGCCAUAUGGGCAAAUUUUGGUAUGUUGCUGUUCUGUCAACAUCCCGAAAGUAUUCAGGUGUGUGGCGCUAACUCAAAAUUUCGUAAAACAGUGAAAAACCGAAAUUGUCGAUGCUACACGAUUUUGUUUCUAGUCGUGUGGCAAGCCAUGUGAGCCAAAAGGGCAUGUGUUCGGCUGUGUGGCCCACACGGGUUGUGCCAGGUAGGGUGUGUGGGCCACAUGGGCAUGUGGGCCCAUUUUGAAUAAGUUUAAUUAGGGUUGAGUUUUGGAUUGCAUAUUUGAGGUCAAUGAUUACAUAGACUCUGACGAAUGAUAUUUAUGAUUGAUCGAUCAAUGUAAUCUUUUGUUCUGUUAUGUGUGUAUAUUUUCUGAAUAAAUUGUAUAUAUAUGUGAUCUAUAUAGUAUUAGUAGCAUGUGACAUUAUGGCGAAAUUGAUUUGUGAUUAUUGAAUUUGAUUCUUUUGUUUUGUAAA